UGAGAGAGGGAGACUCUGUGCACUCC
rnacentral:piRNA from 1 species